UACGUAGGGUGCGAGCGUUGUCCGGAAUCAUUGGGCGUAAAGAGCGUGUAGGCGGCCCGAUAAGUCCGCUGUGAAAGUCCAGGGCUCAACCCUGGAAUGCCGGUGGAUACUGUCGGGCUCGAAUCCGGAAGAGGUGAGUGGAAUUCCUGGUGUAGCGGUGAAAUGCGCAGAUAUCAGGAGGAACACCAAUGGCGAAGGCAGCUCACUGGGACGGUAUUGACGCUGAGACGCGAAAGCGUGGGGAGCAAACAGG
rnacentral:rRNA from 1 species